rnacentral:rRNA from 1 species
GACGUAGGGCGCGAGCGUUGUCCGGAUUUAUUGGGCGUAAAGAGCUCGUAGGCGGCUUGUCGCGUCGUCCGUGAAAACCCACAGCUCAACUGUGGGCUUGCGGUCGAUACGGGCAGGCUAGAGUUCGGUAGGGGAGACUGGAAUUCCUGGUGUAGCGGUGAAAUGCGCAGAUAUCAGGAGGAACACCGGUGGCGAAGGCGGGUCUCUGGGCCGAUACUGACGCUGAGACGCGAAAGCGUGGGGAGCGAACAGG